rnacentral:rRNA from 1 species
GACGAACGCUGGCGGCGUGCUUAACACAUGCAAGUCGAACGGAAAGGCCCUGCUUGCAGGGUACUCGAGUGGCGAACGGGUGAGUAACACGUGGGUGAUCUGCCCUGCACUUCGGGAUAAGCCUGGGAAACUGGGUCUAAUACCGGAUAGGAGCCAUCUUUAGUGUGAUGGUUGGAAAGUUUUUUCGGUGUAGGAUGAGCUCGCGGCCUAUCAGCUUGUUGGUGGGGUAAUGGCCUACCAAGGCGGCGACGGGUAGCCGGCCUGAGAGGGUGGACGGCCACAUUGGGACUGAGAUACGGCCCAGACUCCUACGGGAGGCAGCAGUGGGGAAUAUUGCACAAUGGGCGCAAGCCUGAUGCAGCGACGCCGCGUGGGGGAUGACGGCCUUCGGGUUGUAAACUCCUUUCGCUAGGGACGAAGCUUUUGUGACGGUACCUAGAUAAGAAGCACCGGCUAACUACGUG